CCUACGGGAGGCAGCAGUGGGGAAUAUUGGGCAAUGGGCGCAAGCCUGACCCAGCAACGCCGCGUGAAGGAAGAAGGCUUUCGGGUUGUAAACUUCUUUUAUGAGGGACGAAAGAAAUGACGGUACCUCAUGAAUAAGCCACGGCUAACUACGUGCCAGCAGCCGCGGUAAUACGUAGGUGGCAAGCGUUAUCCGGAUUUACUGGGUGUAAAGGGCGUGUAGGCGGGACUGCAAGUCAGAUGUGAAAAUUAUGGGCUCAACCCAUAACCUGCAUUUGAAACUGUAGUUCUUGAGUGAUGGAGAGG
rnacentral:rRNA from 1 species